CUUGUACUCCCUCCGUUUGAAAAUACUUGUCAUUGAAAUGGAUGUAUCUAGAUGUAUUUUAGUUCUAGACACAUCCAUUUUGAUGACAAGUAAUUUCGGACGGAGGGAGUACUUG
rnacentral:pre_miRNA from 1 species